AGGGGAGAAGAACAACAGGGAUUGCCCUAGUAACGGCGAGUGAAGCGGCAACAGCUCAAAUUUGAAAUCUGGCGUAAGCCCGAGUUGUAAUUUGUAGAGGAUGCUUCUGGGUAGCGGCCGGUCUAAGUUCCUUGGAACAGGACGUCAUAGAGGGUGAGAAUCCCGUAUGUGACUGGCUUGCACCCUCCACGUAGCUCCUUCGACGAGUCGAGUUGUUUGGGAAUGCAGCUCUAAAUGGGAGGUAAAUUUCUUCUAAAGCUAAAUACCGGCCAGAGACCGAUAGCGCACAAGUAGAGUGAUCGAAAGAUGAAAAGCACUUUGGAAAGAGAGUUAAAAAGCACGUGAAAUUGUUGAAAGGGAAGCGCCCGCAACCAGACUUUGCGGCGGUGUUCGGCUGGUCUUCUGACCGGUUUACUCGCCGCCGUGAGGCCAUCAUCGUCUGGGACCGCUGGAUAAGACCUGAGGAAUGUAGCUCCCUUCGGGGUGUGUUAUAGCCUCUGGUGAUGCAGCGCGUCUCGGGCGAGGUCCGCGCUUCGGCAAGGAUGAUGGCGUAAUGGUUGUCGGCGGCCCGUCUUGAAACACGGACCAAGGAGUCUAACAUCUAUGCGAGUGUUCGGGUGUCAAACCCCUACGCGUAAUGAAAGUGAACGGAGGUGGGAACUUUUUGUGCACCAUCGACCGAUCCUGAUGUCCUCGGAUGGAUUUGAGUAAGAGCAUAGCUGUUGGGACCCGAAAGAUGGUGAACUAUGCCUGAAUAGGGUGAAGCCAGAGGAAACUCUGGUGGAGGCUCGCAGCGGUUCUGACGUGCAAAUCGAUCGUCAAAUUUGGGUAUAGGGGCGAAAGACUAAUCGAACCAUCUAGUAGCUGGUUCUGCGU
rnacentral:rRNA from 1 species